rnacentral:rRNA from 1 species
AUUGAACGCUGGCGGCCUGCCUAACACAUGCAAGUCGAACGAGUGGCGGACGGGUGAGUAAGUUCUGGGCACCUGCCUGAUGUAGGGGGCUAACUACUGGAAACGGUAGAUAAUACCGCAUACCAUCAGAUAUGCCCAGAUUGGAUUAGCUUGCUGGGGGGGUAACGGCUCACCAAGGCGACGAUCCCUACCUGGGCUGAGAGGAUGGCCAGCCACACUGGAACUGAGACACGGUCCAGACUCCUACGGGAGGCAGCAGUGGGGAAUAUUGGACAAUGGGCGCAAGCCUGAUGCAGGCAUGCCGCGGGUAUGAAGAAGGCCUUCGGGUUGUAAAGUACUUUCAGCGGGGAGGCGUUACCCGCAGAAGAAGCACCGGCUAACUCCGUGCCAGCAGCCGCGGUAAUAC